UACGGAGGGAGCUAGCGUUGUUCGGAAUUACUGGGCGUAAAGCGCACGUAGGCGGCUUUGUAAGUUAGAGGUGAAAGCCCGGAGCUCAACUCCGGAAUUGCCUUUAAGACUGCAUCGCUUGAAUCCAGGAGAGGUGAGUGGAAUUCCGAGUGUAGAGGUGAAAUUCGUAGAUAUUCGGAAGAACACCAGUGGCGAAGGCGGCUCACUGGACUGGUAUUGACGCUGAGGUGCGAAAGCGUGGGGAGCAAACAGGG
rnacentral:rRNA from 1 species